UCCCCGUUCUCCUGGGCAGUCUCUCCGAAGAGGGGCUCUCGUUUCUGAGAGCUUGCUCGUGCAUGUCAAGCCUAGGUAAGGUUCUUCGCGUUGCGUCGAAUUAAACCACAUGCUCCACCGCUUGUGCGGGCCCCCGUCAAUUCCUUUGAGUUUCAACCUUGCGGUCGUACUCCCCAGGCGGGGUACUUCCUGCGUUAGCGCCGGCACCCAGAGGGUCGCUCCCCCAGGCACCUAGUACCCAUCGUUUACGGCGUGGACUAC
rnacentral:misc_RNA from 1 species